GAUGAAGAACGUAGCGAAAUGCGAUAAGUAGUGUGAAUUGCAGAAUUCAGUGAAUCAUCGAAUCUUUGAACGCGCAUUGCGCCCGCCAGUAUUCUGGCGGGCAUGCCUGUUCGAGCGUCAUUUCAACCCUCAAGCCCAGCUUGGUGUUGGGGAUCGGCACAGGCGCCCUCGGGCGCCAGCCGUCCCCUAAAUCUAGUGGCGGUCCCGCUGCAGCCUCCUCUGCGUAGUAGUUUUCUCCUCGCAAGGGCAGCUCGGUGGCGACCUCGCCGUAAAACCCCCAACUUCUGAAAGGUUGACCUCGAAUCAGGUAGGAAUACCCGCUGAACUUAAGCAUAUCAAUAAGCGGAGGA
rnacentral:misc_RNA from 1 species